rnacentral:rRNA from 1 species
GAACCCGGAAGUCAAACCCAAUGUCGCUACUGUGUUACUAAGGUGCGAGAGCCCUUGGGAAGCAGUAGUGCUGGCGCCU